UGCAGUGGGGAAGGUCUCUUAGGUAUGGUCUUCUUGAGGUCGGGAGCGAAGGAUUGAUAAGUGUAUAGACUGCCUCAACUCGUUGCCCUUCGGAAGGUCCUGGAGCCGAGGUACUUCCCUCCUCUAUCUUGAGUUUUCUCUUUAGUGGGUUCAGUGGAGGUUAUUGGGUGGCUGAGUGUGGAAGUGUUGGUUGCUGCUGUCCAUCGCUAGGAUCGGAAUUCCCGACAGGGCCCUUGCUAACAUUUGCGGUGUUAGCAUUCAGGUGAGCCAUGACAGCUACUACGGCUGNUUGGAACAUAGCUUCAUCGAAUAAGAGGGCAGGUUUCUUGCUUGCGGAUUGGUUACGCUUCUUCGGUGGCAUGGUUUUUCCUACACGGAAAGGAAUACAAGGUAAUGAGAGACGAUGGUUAACCCUGGACAUUUCUGUCCUGAACGUAUUAGGCAUAAAUUUUUCCCGUGCCUCGGGUACUGGCUGUCUGAGUGUCGACCUACAUCCCUAUGAUGUAGUCCUGGUAAUCAAGGUAAGAGUAUGAGUAUCGGAAAAAGGCCAUUAGAUGCGAGUCGUUCCUACUAAGUUACCUUUAUACUGGGAAAGGUUUCACUCUCCGGCCUGGAGAGAUUUGAGAACGGUUCGGAACGAAAUCGUGGAAAGAAAGGCUCACAAGGGCAGAUAGCUAAAAUUAUCUCAAUAGNGGGAGGGAAGGAUUGACAGGGGUAUAGACUGCCUCAGCUCGUUGCCCUUCGGAAGGUCCUUGAGCCGAGGUACUUCCCUCCUCUAUCUUGAGUUUUCUCUUUAGUGGGUUCAGUGGAGGUUAUUGGGUGGCUGAGUGUGGAAGUGUUGGUUGCUGCUGUCCAUCGCUAGGAUCGGAAUUCCCGACAGGGCCCUUGCUAACAUUUGCGGUGUUAGCAUUCAGGUGAGCCAUGACAGCUACUACGGCUGCUGAGACUGCAGCUUGGAACGUAGCUUCAUCGAAUAAGAGAGCAGGUUUCUUGCUUGUGGAUUGGUUACGCUUCUUCGGUGGCAUGGUU
rnacentral:lncRNA from 1 species